AUGGAAGUGGACUGUCUGGAGGUUGUGAACCUCUGGGCUUCGCGCAACAAUGCUCGUUCCAUUGUAGCGCCUAUUUUAGAUGAGAUAGGGGAGAAAUCUUCAAGUUUUAUUUCCUUUUCUGUUAGGCAUGUCCUGAGGGAUGGGAAUAGUGUGGCAGACCUCUGUGCAAAGCACGUAUGUACCUUGUCGGUCUCCGAGUGCUGGCUCGAGGAAUGCCCGAGUUUUCUAGUUAGCAGCAUUCGUGCUGAUUGUAACAGGACCUUGUUAAAGCAAUAA
rnacentral:rRNA from 1 species